rnacentral:rRNA from 1 species
UACGUAGGGUGCGAGCGUUGUCCGGAAUUACUGGGCGUAAAGAGCUCGUAGGUGGUUUGUCGCGUUGUCCGUGAAAUUCCCUGGCUUAACUGGGGGCGUGCGGGCGAUACGGGCAGACUUGAGUACUGCAGGGGAGACUGGAAUUCCUAGUGUAGCGGUGAAAUGCGCAGAUAUCAGGAGGAACACCGAGUGGCGAAGGCAGGUCUGCUGGGCCAUUACUGACACUGGAGAAG